AUCGCGUUGCCAACACCCUGAAAUGAACUUUGGGUGAACCCUGGCAAAAAGAAUAAAAAAUGUAAUCUUUUGUCGAAAAUUUAAAAAAAUGGAGGGAAAAAAUCAGAAAACCCGGAAAAGUCGGUUGCUGGAGUUCAAUAGUGAGGAAAAAAUAGCAUUGAUACGAUGCAUGGAGUCGCGCCCAGAAUUGUGGGACCUUUCCAAUAAAAAGCAUUUUAAUGCAACAUUCAUAAAAAGAUCGUGGGAGGAAAUAGCCUGGGAAAUGGACAAAGAUGAUAAUAGUUGCAAGCUGGCGUGGAAGUCUCUACGGGACAGCUACAAGUAACACAAGUGCAAGCAGCCAAAGAGUGGAAGUGCUGGAGGAGACCCACUGGAGAAGCCAACAGGUGCUGCAGAGUGGGAUUUCGCUCCCUACAUGGGCUUCCUGCCGGACUUAUCCACGCAGAGGCAAACAACCCAAUCUGUGUUUUCGGAGAGCGACGGAGC